UGGUGGUUUCAGGGGUUAAAAUUGGGAGGAAUUAUAGGGGGAGAGAGGGGGAGGAGAAGAAGAAGAAAGAGAGAGUACAUCUCUGUUUUUCAGAGAAAGAAAAGUCAGUUACGGUACUAUUGACUUUUUUUUUGUUUUUUGUUUUUUUUGGAAACUUGGUACUAUUGAUUUUGGAAAAAGGCAAUGGUUACUUUUUUGUUUUUGUGUCAUGCCUAUAAUGCCCUCUCAAAGUUUGCAUUUAUUGCCAAAAUAAAUUGUUUCUUUUGGAAAAACACCAUUUUCCUUUAUGUUUUUAAUCCUUUUUUUUUUUU
rnacentral:lncRNA from 1 species